rnacentral:piRNA from 1 species
UGGUGACCUCAUGGAGAAUACUAAGGAAUC